AGAGUUUUAUAUUGGCUCCCCUAAGUAUUAUCUAGAAACAUAUAUUAUGCAAACUAACAAAUUAUAUAUUUUGGUAACAAGAUAAAAAUAUAAUUUAGAGUAGUGAACACACGAGUAAUAGAUAAGAAACUACAACAUAAUAUUGCUAUAAAUUAGUAAUAAAGAAAUUAUAUAAAGUAUAUAUAAAUUUAAUAAAGUAUAUAAAAAUAUAUGUAUUAUGUGAGGCUUAUCUUAAUAUUAGGUAGUUGGUUAUAAUAAAUAGAUAACACAAGCUUAAGAUAUUUAGUCUAAUUUAGACCGUGUAGGAUCUGAAAAUAUCCUAAUUUCAAUGAAAUCAGCAGUAAGUAACAUUCGUCAAUGAUUGAAAGAUUGAACGAGUUACCUAGUAGAAUUAAUAAAACUGAAGUUAAAAUAAUUUAUUUAUAAAUUAAGAUAAUAGUUUUAGAAAGAAUAAAAAAUUCGAAAAUUAAUAAAAGAAAGAUAUAUUAAUUUUUAUAGUAUGUACUAAUUUCAGUGCCAGCAGUAGCGGUAAUACUGAUCAUGCGAAUACUUAUAACAUACUUGGCUUAAAGGGUUUGCAGAUGGUUGUUUAAAUACAAGCUAGAAUUUAUUAAAUGUUAUAUCAAUUUUUAAAGUAAAGAUAAUAUUUGCGUAUAUUAAAAGUUGAUCCAAAAAUUGAAAAAUAAUAACAAAAAUGAAUUGACAUUAAGAAACGAAAGUUAAAAUAUAGAAAUCGAUUAGAUACCGGUGUAUUUUUAACCGUAAACGAAACAUAUUGAGAAUAAAAAAAGUUAAACGAGAAUAUGUCGCCAUAGUAGUACGUUCCCAGGAAUGAAACUAAAAAUAUAAGACGGUUUGGAACUCAAGUAGUGGAACAUGUUGUUUAAUUCGAUAAUCCCCGAUAAACUUACCUAUUUUUGUAUUCUAAACAGGUGUUACAUCAUUGUCUUCAAUUCGUGUUGUGAAAUGUUAGGUUAAGUCCAAACAACGAAUAAAAACCUCAAUAAUAUAUAAAUAUUAUAAUUUUUUAAUCAAAAUGGUUAGCAUAAAGAGGACUAAGACAAAUCAAGAUGACCCAAAUAGAUAGGGCUACAGAUGUGUUACAAGUAAUAAUAAAAUAAAAAAUUAAAUAAAUAAUAAAAACUUUAAUAAAGAAUAUAUAUUAUUUUAUUAAAUGAUUAUUUCAUUUUCUCUAUGGAUAAAAGUUUGAAAUUCAGCUUUUUGAAAACGGAAUUACUAGUAAUUAUCGUUAAGUAUACGAUAAUGAAUAGAAUCUUUCAUUCGUACUAAUCACUCAUCACUUGCUUAAAGAAUAAAAUGUUAAGUUUUUUUAAAGUAAAUCAAAUAAUAAUUUGUUUUUAUAUUAUUAAUUUAUUAAUAAUAAUUGUUAUAAAUUUAUUAAAAAAUAUAACAAUAUUAAAUACACAUUAAGUUUAAUAAGUAAGAAGUUGAAAUACAGUUACUGUAGAGGAAUCUGCAGUGGUAAAUAAACAUUUAA
rnacentral:ncRNA from 2 species